rnacentral:lncRNA from 1 species
UGGAACAUAAUAAUGUUAUUAUGAUUUUUAUGGAACAUUUACACGGAAUGUAAGAUCGUUUGAUGAAUGAGUACAUGGAGAUCACAAGUCACGAAAUACUUCUUUGUAAACUACAUUUGUCGUGCAAGUAUAGCCCUCUCACUGAAAUAAUUCUGAUUGUUGAAGUUUUCGAGAAUUGAAGGAUACACAAAAUCAAUUAAAGUUGAAAUGGGAUCCGAUGUAUCAGUGAUUAGAAGGUCGCUUGGUAUUUCAAUUGACGCUUCUC